CCUACGGGAGGCUGCAGUGAGGAAUAUUGGUCAAUGGGCGAGAGCCUGAACCAGCCAAGUCGCGUGAGGGAGUACUGCCCUAUGGGUUGUAAACCUCUUUUGUCGGGGAGCAAAAGCCGGACGUGUCCGGCUGUGAGAGUACCCGAAGAAAAAGCAUCGGCUAACUCCGUGCCAGCAGCCGCGGUAAUACGGGGGAUGCGAGCGUUAUCCGGCUUUAUUGGGUUAAAAGGGUGCGCAGGGGGAUUUUUAUGUCAGCGGUAAAAUCGUGGGGCUCAACCCCAUCCAGCCGUUGAAACUGGGGAUCUAGAGUGUGCGAGAGGUAUGCGGAAUGCGUGGUGUAGCGGUGAAAUGCAUAGAUAUCACGCAGAACCCCGAUUGCGAAGGCAGCAUACCGGUGCACAACUGACGCUCAGGCACGAAAGCGUGGGUAUCGAACAGGAUUAGAUACCCCGGUAGUC
rnacentral:rRNA from 1 species